rnacentral:rRNA from 1 species
GUGGGGAAUAUUGCACAAUGGGGGAAACCCUGAUGCAGCAACGCCGCGUGGGUGAAGAAGUAUUUCGGUAUGUAAAGCCCUAUCAGCAGGGAAGAAGAGAGACGGUACCUGACUAAGAAGCCCCGGCUAACUACGUGCCAGCAGCCGCGGUAAUACGUAGGGGGCAAGCGUUAUCCGGAUUUACUGGGUGUAAAGGGAGCGUAGACGGCUUGAUAAGUCUGAAGUGAAAGGCCAAGGCUUAACCAUGGAACUGCUUUGGAAACUAUGAGGCUAGAGUGCUGGAGAGGUAAGCGGAAUUCCUAGUGUAGCGGUGAAAUGCGUAGAUAUUAGGAGGAACACCAGUGGCGAAGGCGGCUUACUGGACAGAAACUGACGUUGAGGCUCGAAAGCGUGGGGAGCAAACAGGAUUAGAAACCCUAGUAGUCC